rnacentral:tRNA from 1 species
GAAGAACUAACCCUAACGGUAAGGGAGCUGCCUUGAAAAUAGCUAGUAGCCGAGAAAUAGGUGCCUCAGUUCGAAUCUGAGGUUCUCCGCCA